AUACCAUCUGGGGAGGUCCACUUAGUAUCCCAAAACUGUUUAGCAAUGGUCGGACAAGUGGGUAAUGUUGGGGUGAACCAAAAAAAAUUGGGUAGAGCCGGAUCUAAGUGUUGGCUAGGUAAACGCCUUGUAGUAAGAGGGGUAGUUAUGAACCCUGUGGACCACCCGCAUGGGGGCGGUGAAGGGAAAGCUCCCAUUGGUAAAAAACCCACAACCCCUUGGGGUUAUCCUGCACUUGGAAUAAGAACUAGGAAAAGGAAAAAAUAUAGCGAUAGUUUUAUUCUUCGUUGCCGUAAGUAA
rnacentral:rRNA from 1 species